GUGCCAGCAGCCGCGGUAAAACGUAGGGGACAAGCGUUAUCCGGAUUCACUGGGCGUAAAGAGCGUGAGGGCGGUUCCGUAAGUUGGGCGUGAAAGCUCCGGGCUUAGCCCGGAGAUGUCGUUCAAUACUGCGGGGCUUGAGGACAGCAGAGGAAGGUGGAAUUCCCGGUGUAGUGGUGAAAUGCGUAGAUAUCGGGAGGAACACCCGUGGCGAAGGCGGCCUUCUGGGCUGUUCCUGACGCUGAAGGCGAAAGCUAGGGGAGCGAACGGGAUUAGAUACCCCGGUAGUCCUAGCUGUAAACGAUGGAUGCUGGGUGUGGGGGGUGUAAAUUCCCUCUGUGCCGAAGCAAACGCGUUAAGCAUCCCGCCUGGGGACUACGGCCGCAAGGCUAAAACUCAAACGAAUUGACGGGGGCCCGCACAAGCAGCGGAGCGUGUGGUUUAAUUCGAUGCUACACGAAGAACCUUACCUGGGUUUGACAUGCACGUGGUAGGGAACCGAAAGGGGACCGACCUUCGGGAGCGUGCACAGGUGCUGCAUGGCUGUCGUCAGCUCGUGCCGUGAGGUGUCGGGUUAAGUCCCGUAACGAGCGCAACCCUUGCCCUUAGUUACAAGUGUCUAAGGGGACUGCCCGGGACAACUGGGAGGAAGGUGGGGAUGACGUCAAGUCAGCAUGGCCUUUAUAUCCAGGGCUACACACACGCUACAAUGGCCAGUACAAUAGGUAGCCAAGUCGUGAGACGGAGCCAAUCCUUAAAGCUGGUCUCAGUUCGAAUUGCAGUCUGCAACUCGACUGCAUGAAGC
rnacentral:rRNA from 1 species